CUUGCUCUUCAGCUUCUGUGGGCCCAUUUGUCAUUUCGCAGGAAUAAUGCCUGUGUGGAAUCCUCUUUGAAAAACACUGGCUUCAAUUCCUGGGAUACCAUGGCGAAGUUCAAUGUAUACCUACAUGCUCCCCAGCCAGGGAGGUUGUGACUCUGCAGGGUUGUGAGGCUCAGGCUGGGGCCAGUGCCUGCUCACCUUCCUCUUGGUUCCCUAAGAAGCCUCCCGUCAACCUGCAGCCUGAUGUGGGAAUGGCACUGACCAAUGGCUGGAUGGGGAGGAAGAAAUGGUGGCUGUCCUCAUGGAGGACUCAGUGUGGAGUUGGAGGUGUCAGGAGAGGGGUCCUCGGCAAGGGAUUCCAUGACUCCCAUGGCACAGCGUCUUCUCCUGCACACGGCUUCUUGUCAGCACACGUCUAAUGCCUCCUUGUUUCCAAAGUACCUUGUAUAGUGUCUGUUAUGGUGUAAGCAUUUAGCAAAUGUUCAAUGAAAGAAUAGAAAUCAUAUCUUGGAAUUUUGAGAAAUACUGUCUUGGGAACGAUAGUGAGCAGAUAGUAUAAUUAAAACCAGAUGCCAAGGAGAUUUUCUAACUGUCUCAGGGCAUGACAUUCCCAUCAUUUAUUUGGUAAAAAUUACUCUCUGCUCCAUCUUGAAGCCAGCUCUUUCCUGGCACUGGAAACGCAAUCUAAAUAGCGUUUAAUUCCAGGGAAGCUUUUAUCAAUUCCUGCUCAUGUUCCAACUUGACUUCAGGCCAACCUGGAUUGGCCCAAUUUGCUGCAAGUCUGUCUCGGCUCAAGGCAGCCUCGUGGGGCAGUUGGGAUUCUUGCUGCCUUCACAAGCCACAGCCAGAACAUGGAAUAGGCAACCUCACAGCACCGUUUUGAUGUGAGCUGCUGGAUACCAGACCAGGCUCCUUCCCUUGUGUCUGCUUUACCUGUAGGUCUACCUCCAAGGGUGGAGGCUGGGACCCUACUUGGAAGGCAGGAACACCUGUCCAGCUGGGAGAGGAUGAUGGUGGGGCCAGGCUCUGGCAGCUGAGGUGGAGAGAAGGAAACUGACUUGGGAUAUUUUCAGGGAAAGAGCACCAGGACCUGCUGAUAUUGGACAUGAUGGUGAGGGGAGAAGGCAGAGAAGGACCAGGACCUGCUGAUAUUGGAGGUGAUGGUAAGAGGAGAAGGCAGAGAAGGUGCAGGCAAGUGAGGAACCACAGAUCUCUGUUGGGCUGGGCCAGCUGGAUAGCCAUGGCUGCCGUGCACAGCUUUAUCACUGGAACUGCAAGGGAGGAGAGGAUCUUUCAUAAAAGGGGGCAGCUCCCUGGGCUAUAAAAGGCAAGGCUGCCAGGGUGAGCACAGGAGAGGCAAUCAGGUGGGUUUGGGGUGAAAAGGGAGGCAGCUGCUGUUUUCUCGGGAAGGGUGAGAUGUUGCUGGGCUGAGGAGGUCAGGGAGGGUGUGAAAUAGCUUUUCUGCACAAAGGAGAGGGAAACGUUUAACAAAUACAUUAGGAUUGCUGGGGGUUUCGCCUGCCUGUUUGAGGACUCGUGAGUCCAGCCAGCGCAGUAGCGUGUGUCACUGUGAGCACAUUCAGCAGUUGGGGAGGGGCAGGGCAGAAGGAGAAAGGGGCUUUAGUGGGUCUGAGGAAAUGGGAGGUGGGACAGGGACUCAUUAGAGGGUUUCUAAUGAUGGUCCUGGAGUCUAAUUGAAGCAAAGGGCGAAGCAGGACAUAAGGGAGAGACAGGUCUGGAAAAAGUGGUUGAUGGUCAAUUGAUGCCACACCAAAAUGAAAAGAGCUUGAUUUUGGCCAUGAAGAUGAUGAAAUGGGGGCAUUACAAGAAGGAUGUGGGGAGAGAGGUGGUGAGCUGAGGCUGACAGGCUCUUGCAAUUCUGAAGACAAGAUUGCCCAAGAUAUGAUGUAGGAGGGCAUGGGGGUAAGGAAGACAUGGCAGGUGGGGAGAGGAGAGGCCGGUCCUCGGGGAUGCUGAUGUCAGGGAGGACGAUGAAGGCAGACAUGAGGCCAAGGUGGGAAGGUGGGUUCAUGUCUUUAACAAAUGCGGGAGGCAACCAGGCUCUCAGAGGAUGACAGCAGAUGACACCACACACAAUCAGAGGGGCUGGGGUUUUUGAGCUAGGAAGAAAAUCGCAAAAGUAUCAAGGAACACUGGUCUGAAUCCCAGGCCUGUGCUGCAGGCAUGUGAGUGAAAUUGUCCCAAAUGGACAGGACACGGGGUGGAGGCGUUCUCAGCUGGAUCUCAAAGCAGAAGAAAGUGAGACUAUCCAGAGAGGAAGUUGCGAUACAGGAGGUUUAGACAGGAGGCAGUGAUUAGGGAGGGCACAGCAGGAGGGAUUUUCAUGCAGCAGGAGUGUGGGAAGCACCCUGCCAUCUCAGUUGGGAUCUCUAGCUUGCUAUAUUCUAAGAGUAGGGGUGAAACAGAUGUAGCCUGAGCUUUACAGAGAUGGCAGCUCAUUCUUUGAACAUCUCAGUCCAUGUUUGGAUUAAAGUGAUCUGUUGGCUCCAUUUAUCUAAAAGAGGAUACAGAACUCUCCUCAGAGGAAGGCAGUAGCAGCCAGAGUCUCAGGAACUUUAAUGGGCAUUGUUCAGCUUUCAACAGAAAGGAAGCAUGCAUAUGAGACAGGGCAAAGGGAACAAACAGAAAUCAAACUCAGACCCACAGAUGACCCAGAUAUCAGAGAUGGUUGACACUGUUGUUAAAAUAAUUGUGAUUAACACGUUAAAGUAUUAUUUGAAGAAAUACUUUAAAUAAGUAUUUAAAGUGAAAUCCACAAAAAAGAAUCCAAUGGGAUGGUGGGCAAAGGCAGGAUAACAACUUCCCAAAGGUGCCCAUGUCCUGGCACUCAGAACGUGUGAAUGGGCUAUGUCACAUGGCGAGAGGUACUUAAGAUUGCAGAUGGAAGAAAAACUGCUAACAAGCUGAUCACAACUUAAGGACAUUAUCCUUAAUUUAGGUAAUUACACAGUUCCUUAAAUGUGGAGGAGGGAGAAAGAAGAAUUACUGUCAGAGUGAUGUGAUAUAAGAAAUACUUGAACGGCUAUUAUUAGCUUUGAAGAUAGAACUGGUUCAUGAGCCAAAUAAUGCAGGCAGGCUAUUAAAGCCAAAAAAUGCAGCAAAUCCAAGUCUCUCCUAGAGACUGUAGACACAAACAUAUCCCUGCCAAUACCUUGAUUUUAGCCCCGUCAGAUCCACUUUGGACUUUUCUCCUCAAGUAUAUAAGAUAAUAAAUUUGUGUUGUUUUAAGCUGCUAAGUUUGGGGAAAUUUGGAGUAACAGCAAUUCAAAAAAAUACAGAUUUUGGUACUUGAAGGUGUGGUUCUGCCAUAACAAAGGACUAAAAAUGUGAAAUGGGUAAUCCCAGCACUUUGGGAGGCUGAGGCGGGUGGAUCACAAGGUCAGGAGAUUGAGGCCAGCCUGGCCAACAUGGUGAAACGCUGUCUCUACUAAAAAUACAAAAAAUUAGCCAGGCGUGGUGGUGGGUGACUAUAGUCCCAGCUACUCGGGAGGCUGAGGCAGGAGAAUCUCUUGAACCCGGGAGGUGGAGCUUGCAGUGAGCCGAGAUUGCACCACUUCACUCCAGCCUGGGCAAGAGAGCCAGACUCCAUCUCAAAAAAAAAAAAAAAAAAAAAGUGAAAUGGCUCUGGAAUUGGACAGUAGGGAAAGGCUGGAGGAAUGUUGAGGACAUGAUAGAAAAAGCUGAGAUUUCCUUGGACAGUCUGUUGUAGAAACAUGGAUGCUAAGGGUGACCUUAGUCAAGUCUCAAAAAGAAAUGAGCAUGGUAGAGAAAGCCCUUAUCGUUCUAGAGGAGAAGAAAUCACCAUGCAUACCAAGUAGGUAGAAAUAUGGACAUUGAAGGCGUGGCUGGGGAGAACUCACAAGGACAUGAGAAGGACAUUAAGGAAUAUAAGGAAAGGCCGCCUUUGUCAAAUAGCAGCAGGGAGCUUAGCUGAAUUGUGUUCUGCAAUUGUGUGGAGAGCAAAACGUUGGACAAUGAACUUAGAUAUUUAACUGAAGAGGUUUCCAAGUAAAGUGUUGAUGGUGCAGUCGUUUUUGUUUGUUUUUUUUUCUUGCUACUUACACUAAAAUGUGAAAGGAAAAAGGAUUGAUUGAAGCAAGGGCUGUUAAGCAAAAAGGAACCAAGACUUGCUGUUUUGCGGACUUCUCAGGCUACUGAGAUUGCAAAUCGUGCUUAAAUUAAGAGAUUCAGGAAAUGUCAGAACAGCCCUCUCUGCCAAGAGCCACAGGUGUGGCUGAAUAAAAUUUGUGCUAGUGGCUUUCAGGAAUCAAAGGUCAGAGUAUUUGGUUACACUGGAGGCUCUUCGAAGAGAUUAGGCAUGUGACUCCCGGAUUCCCCUCAGCCAUCUCAGCCAAAGCCAGAAAUAGAGAUGAUUAUCUGGGGAAGAUCUGCAGAGGAGCCCAUUGUCUAAUGGAGUUAAUCCCCAUGGAGAGCUACAAGGGCCUUAAAAAUAUUCUACUGGCAGGAAAGCUGCCUGCCAGCUUGUACCAAAGGGUCAAAAGAAAGAAGGCUAUUGGACCCCAAAGAUUCCACAGGCAUAAAACUAGCUCUAAGUGCUACCCGGCUGCAAACAUAUGCUUCCUUUUGUUUAAAAAGAAGGAUGGUUUCUGAGGGUGAAGCUGCAUGCCCAGAGGACAAAGUUGUGAGUCACGGAAAUCAUUCCCAUGCCGUUUGAAACUCAAAUGGAGUUCUUGGAUUGCAAAAUUGCUUGGGACCAGGGACUUCUGUCUUCCUUUCCAUUUUUUUUUCCUUUUUGAAUGGAAAUAUCUAUAGCUGUGACUCUAUCCUUGUCUCACUAUUUUAUUUAGAGCACAAGAACAUGUUUCUUGACUUUCACAGAUCAGGAAUAAUUUUGACACAAGAUGGGUGUAUGCAGACCUUCAUCUUAAAUGUUAAAUUUUUUAUAUGCAAGGAUUUAGGACUUGUGCACUGAUGAGAUUUAGAUACAAUUUUGAACUUUGAGUUAAUGCUGUAAUGAGAUGAGGCUUUGGUGAUCCUAAGAUAGAAUAGACGUGUUUUCCCGGUGGAACACAUGUGAAUCUUUAGAGGCCAGAGGGCAGAUUGUGUCAGGCAGGACAGUGCCUCCCUCCUGCAAAAGAUGCCCACAUUCAAUCCAUGAAUAUGUGAUGUUACAUUUAAAAAAUCAUAUGAUAAUAAAUUUGUGUUGUUUUAAACCACUGAGUUUGUCGUAAUUUAUUACAAC
rnacentral:lncRNA from 1 species